AUGGAACACUGGCAGUUUUAACCAUAAUUUUCAAGUUUCUUUUGCAAUGUUAGGAUAAUAUCCACAACCUUGGGAAAGCAAAACCCCCUUUCAAAACAAUUUAUCAUCUUUAAAAUCAAUAUUUGAAGUAUUACUAUUAUGUUACGAAGUUUGGCUGCCAAUUUAUACCUAGGAAUGCAUGACAGUGCAAAUUUUAAUGCUUCAUUAAAGAAACAUCGUUUUAAAUCUUAUCUUCAAGUCUACCUUUUAGGAUAAGAAUCACAUUAAAUAUUAUCUCAACUAGAAGUAUCUUUAGAGGCCUAGCUUUUUGGCCUGCUUUAUGCUAUGUGUUGGAAAGACUCCAAACCUAAGCCACCAAUUUAAAGCUGUCUUGCUACUAAUGUUACACUUUGGUGCCUGUAGCCAUUCUGUCCCCAGGCUGGCUGCUUAUUCAGGAAUCUCUCAGGAAGACAGGUUCAGCCUCUCAGCAGGUAGCAGAAGAGCAGGGCAGUUGUCAUCUCAAAAAGGAGCCAGCCAAGUCAGAAAGCUGCACCACAGGUGGCCCCACCUCAGUGGCUACAAGGUUUGUACCAGCCUGCUUCAGGCUGGUGGAGGUUACAUUACACACCCCUUAAAUAUGUCUUACAUAUAAGAAAACUAAGGAAGACCAAAUAAAAUCUCCAGAUACAUUCAUUUCUAAGAAGCAGACCUGGAAAUCAGAACUAGGUCUGCUUCCCUUUAAAAUGGAUGUUUUUCCAUGUCUAUAACUAGCCUUUAUGAGAAAUAAAUGGAAAAAAAAGUGUUUUCUAGAAGACACAAAGUCGCAGAUGUUAACACAGUUAGACAUGCAGUCAUCAUUUGGAGAUGUGAAACAUUAGGAAGUUAGCAAGGUAACAGAUAAGAAUGAAGAGGUCUAGGGUGACUCAGUAAUAGUGCUUGCCUUGGAUUUGAUGACAUAAGUUUGAUUCCCCAAGAAGAGGAAAGACUUCUGAAAAUUUUCUCCUGACAUCCAUAGGGAUCUGUGGGACAGGCAGGAGCACACACACCACACACACACACACAAGUUUAACUUUUAAAAAAAAGAGUUAUAUGUUCUUGUCUAGGUAACUGCAGACCAGGUUAGCCAAAUCAUAUUAAACAAAUUAAAACAUCUUAAUGAAUAAAAAUAUCUUAAAUUAUAAAUAAAUAAUCAAGAGCAAAUAAAGGAGUUUUAAUUUUUCAACUCAUUCUGAAGUAGAACUUUGAAAUGAAAGAUAUGAUAUAACAAAUCUAAUAUAAGGUUUAAAGAAUAAGAAUGUCCUUCGGUUACAGAAAGAUGCACUGAUACAGAAAGAGUUGCAGCAAUGGGCUAAGCAUUCUUAGAAAAGAUAGUGAUAAAUCAGAGCAUAAGAAUUCCCAAGCUGAGACUAUUUUGCUCACAGAAAAUGGCAGAAGGGGCUCCUCUGUUUUGAUAUCAGCAUUAGUGCAACAGCACUUGCUCAUAAUCUCUCAUGGUAAAUUGCCUCCUUGAUUAGAGCCACAGGGCAUAAUGGGGAAGUGUAUAAGAUAACAAUGUUAGUAAGUGGUGUAUGCAAACACUUUACUAAAGAUAUUCACACUGUGGAUAAAACCAAAUAUCUCUCCUUUACAAGGAAAAUUUACCAUUGGAUUUUAUGCUGAACUCCCACUCCUGCAGAUGUCAGAUGAACAGAGUAACUAAUAAAAAAUAUCACAUCAAUUCUUUAUGUAAAGUUCAUCUAUUUUGCUCAAGUGUUUUUGUCUGUUUGAUUUCGGUUUGUGAUUCAAUCUCAUAUAGCCCAGAGUACCUUUGGAUUCUUUAUGUAGCUGAGUAUGGUCUUGAAGUCUUGACCAUUCUCCCUUAUCCUCCAAAUGCUAGUAUUUAUAUGUAUGAGUUACCAAACCUACAUUAAAGUUGUGAGUGCAUGUGUGAGCAGGUGAGCAUAAAAAUCUAUGUAUGUGCAUAUAUUUGUACCCACCUUUGUUCUGUGGAUGGAAAACACCAGACAGUUAUAACACUUUAAACCCAGCCAGAUAACACAACUGCUAUGUGCAGAAUCUAUUGCCCUAAACUCAUCAGCUAUCUUAUAUCAGAAUACUGCCAUUGACAGAAGCUGCCCCCAAUUCUAGUAGCCCCCAGACAUUACAUGGUGUUCAUCCUCCUCUCUCCAAAGCCUGGCCAAAAAGACAUCUCUCUAUCUGGUCCCCUGCUCUUCCUUCUGGGACCUAGAAAUCCCACUUUUUCCCCUUCGCCCAACAAUUAGCUCACACCGUCUUUAUUGACACAAUCAAGAACCAAGUAGGGAAAUAAUACUUCAACAUACAUGGUUCUAAUAUUUGUGAGGAUCUGACUUUUUUUCUAUCAUGUGCAACCUCUAAACAUUCAAUUGAAUAAUAUUCAUUUUGUUUAAUGAUACCCCAAGGAUCAAAACAUUUGAUUGUGGUGAAAAAUGGAUAUUUAUAAAAGCAUUUUUAAUUAAUUUAUUCACAUCCAAAUAGGCAUUAUUUGAAAUAUAAUUUGCCAAUAUUGGGGAUAUAAUUCCAAAAGAAUCUUGCUAAUUACAAACUACUUGUCUGAAAUUUGAUUUUAACUUUUGCACUUAUCAAAAAAGGGGGGGGGUAUAUUCAUACUCUUAUGAGUGAAAGUUUUGGGAAUAUUUUAUAUCAUCUAUUUUUUUAGGUUAGUAUUCAGAUAGAGGCUUGAUUUAAUAAAUGCAAAAUUAUACAUUGUCACUGUCUUCAAACACAGCAGAAGAAGGCAUCAGAUCACAGUACAGAUGGUUGUGAGCCACCAUGUGGUUGAAGGGAAUUGAACUCAGGACCUCUGGAAGAGCAAUCAGGGCUCUUAACCUCUUGUCACAACAGGCCUCAACAGAUACAAGAAGAUUGAAAUAAUCCCAUUCAUCCAAUCAGAUCACCACAGACAAAGGCUUGUCUUCUAUAACAACAAAAACAAUAGAAAGCCCACAUACACAUGGAAGCUGAACAGCACUCUACUCAAAGAUAACUUGGUCAAGGAACAAAAAAGGAGAGGAAUUGGAGACUCUUUAGAAUUCAAUGAAAAUGAAGGCAGAAUAUAACCAAACUUAUGGGACACAAUGAAAGCAAUGAUAAAGGAAAACUCAUAGCUCUGAGUGCCUUCAAGAAGGAACUGAGAGAGCAUACACCAGCAGCUUGACAACACAUCUGAAAGCUCUAGAACAAAAAGAAGCAAAUACACCCAAGAGGAGUAGACAGCAGAAAAAAAUCAAAUGCACGACUGAAAUCAACCAAGUAAAACCAAAACGAACUAUAAAAAGAAUCAACAAAAGCAGGAACUGAUUCUUUGAGAAAAUCAACAACAUAGAUAAACUUGUAGCCAGACUAACGAAAAGGCACAGAGACAGUAUCCAAAUUAACAAAAUCAGAAAUGAAAAGGGAGACAACAGAAAAUGAGGAAUUUCAAAAAAUCAUUAGAUCUGAUUACAAAUGCAUAUAC
rnacentral:lncRNA from 1 species